GGAAGAUCAGUCAGUGACACUGCUCCAAAAUGUGCAAUGCCUUUUGCAUCAUAAAAUAACCACCUAUUAAACAAAAUUUAAUAUAUUUCUCAAAAGUAGAAUCAAAUCACAACAGCAAUGAAUUUAAAAAAUUUUAGGUCAUUUCGCUCUUUCCAUUUGCCAUUAAUUGAUCUACAAAAAGAAACGUAAUGGCCAAUACCAUUUGGAGUUACUGGUGGAUAUCAGUUAAUUGCGAAGUUAGAUUUUUUGCAUCACAGAGCUGCUCAUUUAUUGAAUACUGUAUUGCAAAAACUGUUACCUGUGAUUAGUCAACGAGGAAGUGACAUACUCAGUGAUGUGUUGAAAUUUGAAUGGAGCACUUUUGGAAGAAAGCUAUCAGUACAAGACAUAAAUAAAAUCGAGGAGAUUAUUAAUUAUACUAAUGAAGAAGAUGUACCAAUCAGAACGAAAACUAUGAAUUUACUGCAAAUGUUAAAUGGAGAUAAUUUGACUAUAAUUCCUGGUGAAGUUUAUCCUGAUAAAGGAAUAAGAAUUGUUGAAUUACAGAGUGACAGCUUAAGUUCAAAGUAAAAUUGCACAAAUUGUUGGAAAAAAACCAAGAGAAAAAAUAUCGCUAAUCUUUAUUUAUUAUAUAUUUGUUUAUUUUUCUGGUUUUUCAACAUCUUACAGAUGGAAUGCAAAUUGUGUAUCCGAUCCUCGAGCAGAGAAGAGAUCUUCAUAUACUGUAAAGGAAAAAAGACUUGUAUUAUAAAGAUGAACUAAUUAGAAGGACAUUUAUAAAACUGGUAGUCCAACAUCUUCGCAAGGUAUCCAAAUAAUAAUCAUCACAUGAAUCAUGAUAAUUAAGCUCUAUUUCCAGUUUUUUGGUGAAUAAUCCAAUUGUACUCCUGUACGCUACACUAUUUUUUGGUAGAAAAAGUUAUGAUAAAUUACAUUCUCUAAUAAAAUUUUUGAAAAUUCGAUUUCUAAA